AGUUCGGAAUAACCCGCCGAAAGGUGGGCUAAUACCGGAUAAAGCUCCCGGUUCAAUAAAACUGGGAACCAAAGAUGGCCAAUGCUUGCAAGCUAUCACUUGAGGAGGGGCCCGCGGCCCAUUAGCUAGUUGGCGGGGUAAUGGCCCACCAAGGCGACGAUGGGUAGCCGGCCUGAGAGGGCGAUCGGCCACAUUGGAACUGAGACACGGUCCAGACUCCUACGGGAGGCAGCAGUGAGGAAUCUUGCGCAAUGGGCGAAAGCCUGACGCAGCAACGCCGCGUGGGUGAUGAAGGCCUUCGGGUCGUAAAACCCUGUCAGGUGGGAAGAAUCGGGUGGGGGCUAAUAUCCUCCACUCCUGACUGUACCACCGGAGGAAGCCCCGGCUAACUCCGUGCCAGCAGCCGCGGUAAUACGGAGGGGGCCAGCGUUGUUCGGAAUUAUUGGGCGUAAAGGGCGCGUAGGCGGUCGAGUAAGUCUGACGUGAAAUCCCUUGGCUCAACCAAGGAACUGCGUCUUAAA
rnacentral:rRNA from 1 species